CGCCGUCACCUAGCAACCAGCUACAAACCACAAAGAGCACAACGCCAACAUGAGAGCUAACGCUAGCCAACGAGCUAACCAGCUAUGUGUAUAAAAACACCAACCUUACUCGAUAAUUUCAUUUUUUUAGCGGAACAAAAUGGUGAAACAGACGAUACAGAUAUAUGGCCGCAUUAAACCUACCAAGAAAAAUACAACGGUGUACUCUGUGGACAAUGAGGGGCAGACAGGUGCUUUUCUGGAGUUCCUGGUUCCCCGGGACCUCGCUGAUGGCUUUGUCAACAACAAGAGGGAGUGCUACAAGUUCAGGUUCCUAAAGGUGUUUGAUCAAGCUGUUGAACAAGAAGAGGUAUUUGAAAACAUUGCCAAACCAGUGGCAGACAGUGUGUUGGCUGGCUACAAUGGCACCAUAUUUGCCUAUGGCCAGACGGGCAGUGGGAAGACGUUUACCAUCACAGGAGGGGCCGAGCACUACAGUGAUCGUGGAAUUAUCCCCCGCACACUUUCAUACCUGUACGAACGCUUCAGCCAGGACAGCAGUAUGGUUUAUACCACACACAUCUCCUACUUGGAGAUCUACAACGAGAUGGGAUAUGACCUCCUGGAUUCCCGCCAUGAAGCGUCUCGACUGGAGGACCUACCAAAGGUGCUGAUUAUGGAAGAUCCAGACCAGAACAUCCAUCUGAGGAACCUGUCACUGCAACAGUCAGCCAAUGAGGAGGAGGCUCUGAAUCUGCUCUUCCUUGGAGACACCAAUCGUAUGAUUGCAGAAACUCCGAUGAACCAGGCAUCCACACGCUCCCACUGUAUUUUCACCAUGCACUUGUGCAGACGCGAGCCGGGCUCGGCCACCUUGCGACGCUCCAAGCUCCACCUGGUGGACUUGGCCGGAUCAGAUAGAGUGAGCAAGACUGGCCUGAGCGGGCAGCUGCUCACUGAGGCCAAGUACAUCAACCUCUCCCUCCACUACUUAGAGCAGGUGAUCAUUGCUUUGUCAGAGAAGAACCGCUCCCAUAUUCCCUACAGGAACUCCAUGCUGACCUCCGUGCUGAGGGACAGCCUCGGGGGCAACUGCAUGACUACCAUGAUCGCUACCAUGGCAGUAGACAGGAGGAAUCUAGAUGAGUCCAUCUCCACGUGUCGCUUUGCUCAGCGUGUGGCUCUCAUCAAGAACGAGGCCAUCCUGAAUGAAGAGCUGGAUCCUGCCCUGCUAAUAGCCCGUCUGAAGAGGGAGAUCCAGUCUCUGAAGGAAGAGCUGGCCAUGUUAACGGGAGAACAGAGGGACGGGCAGCUGACUGUGGAGGAGAUCCAGAGGUUGGAACAGUUAGUCAAGGCCUUUCUGGACGACCCUGAUCCAGAUGUGAUGCUGUCGUUGGGACCAGACAUGAGAAAAAUCCAGUUCUGUUUCUCCCUGCUGAAGAUGAUGAUCAUGGACAAGCAAAGAGGAGGGAAAGGGAAAGCUGAUGGGAAAGCAUCACCGACAGCAGCUGAGAGGGAAGACAGCCAACAGUCAGCAGCAGAAGUCACCAAACUGAAGGAGAUGAUGACCCACCGUGACAAUGAGAUCAGUAUCCUAGUUAAGAUGUUGAAGAAGGAGAAAAAAAGAGCCCAGGAUGCUGUUGCUCAGCUUGCUAACACCGUCAAUGGCCAGAGAACGGCGUCCCAGGAUGCCUCAGGGUUGUCAACAAUGCCACUAUUGAGGGAAGGGAGCCCAGACAGCAUCUCAACCGGCCAUAGAGGACGAGCCAUACAGCACAUGAAAAGAGGUCCACAGCUAUCUAUGGGAAAGCAAGAGGCCUUUGAGAUCUUCGUAAGAGACCAUGAGGACCAUCUGACCAUUGAAGAUAACAAGAAGCUGCUCAAACAGAGGUCAGCUGAGGCCAGAAGAAUUGGAGAGGAACUGAAUGAGGCUAGAAACAGAAUAAAUGAGUUGAAAAAGCAGUUAGAGGUGCAGAGGAGACAGAGGGCCGCUCAUGCUGUAAUGCAGAAUCACCAAGAGGUCGAGGAGGAGUACGACCCCGUGGAAGAAAACCUGUGCAAACACAUAGAGCAAGAAAAGAAGGCUUACAAGAGCGCCAUCGGGCGUCUCAAAGCUCUGAGGACGGAGAUUGAGCACCUGCAGCUGCUGUUGGAGAGGGCGAAGGUCAAGCUCCAGAAAGACUUCCAUCAGUGGUGGAGCAGGGAGGCUUCCAGCGUGCAGGAGUCUGAGGCCACAGCCAGGGUCACAGGGUCGCCAAGGGGAACCUCACAGCCAUCUUCACCCAGCACUCCAGGAUUUCGUAUUUCUCCCGACUUGUCCCACAGUGCACCUGUUCUGAGCAGCACUGUGAGAGACUCUCCAUCAGAACCACACCCAGUCCACUGCUCCACCUCUGUUCAAGAUCUCAGAAGCUACAUCCCUGUGAUGGCUGUCCCAGAAGGGCAUGAUGAGACCCUGGGUAGGACGGUGUCUGACUUCACUCCUUCAUCUGACUGGAGGUCUCUUUCCACCACCACACUCUCAUCCUCCUCCAUUCCCCUGACCGGAGACCAAAAGGCUGAUGCUGACAUCCUGGCAUUUGUCAGAGCAAGGCAAAACCUCCUCAGCAGGACAGGACCACCUCAAUAAUACCACGAUGCUCUAAUGAACACCUGAAGUUCCGCCAUCUAAAUGCUUCUUCAACCUCCAUCUGCAUUUAAACGAGUAUUGGACAUUAUUGAGUAAAGAUGGACGGACAUUGAAGAUCCUGAAAAUACUGGAUUUGUGAUCUGCCAAACACCAGCCACACAUCCUGUCUGAUGUUUACAUGCAGACACACACUGGUUGGCCUCCUGGAGUAUUUGUCCGGUACAAUGGGCAGCAGUAUAAAUCAAAGCCUGCGCCGCACAUUUGAUCUAAACAAAUGUUGUCUCAAGAUAUGAGAGGAAGGAAACCAGGUGGCUCCAUUACUCUCUGGCAAGUUUCAGAUUUAGAAGUGCUGCUUUUUCUGUGGAAUACACCUAGAAAAUAUCCCAGCUCUUGCUACACACUUACCACACCAGCAGACAACCUGUGAACCUUGGAACAAAAGCAGUUUGCAUGGCUUUGCGUUGAUUUGUUUGACAGAUGACAAGCAGCUGCACAAUUUGAAUCCAGUUGCCUUGGAGAAUGAGCCCUCUUCAGUGAAGUCAUGAUAUCUGUUAUUCUCUCAGACACAUAAGUGACUCUCUUCAUGGCGUGAUUGUGUUAAAAUAUAUUUUUAAUAACACCACAAAGUCCAUAAACACAGAAGUGUAAAUCUAUACAAAUAAAUUGAUAGUGUAGGAGAGCACUGAACAUGUAAUCAAGCUUGAAGUUUAACUUCAUAUUGCAGUAGUUGACAAGCAUUCAGCUUCAUUCUUUUUUGUAUAGUGAUUCAAUUAGUAGUUAAUUACUUUAAAGCAGUUUUUAUGUAGUGUACUCUUUGAACAAGAAGCAAUUUUGGGCAGUAAAAGGAAAUCAUUUAAAAUAUUUGUUACCCUAAUUUACCUUUUAGCUUGAAUUCUAAGUUAAAUUGGCAAGGCAAGUUCAUGCUUUUGUUUUUGAAAGACCUGUGAACAAGGCUUUUGCUGGCAUUUCACAUGCAUUUUGUUAUGAUUUUGUAACACAAUGAUGUGUGAGAUUGUAUUUUCUCUGAUGGAGUAUAAUAUUGCUAAUAACCCAAAACACAAGAAUAUGACUAAUCUAAAUGACUAUAUAGGAGGCAGUAAACAUUUUAAUUCUAUAUAAACUUUCUUUGUGUGUUUUCAUUCAAAGUUUAUGUACUGCAUGCCGUAUCCCACAUUAUUAUUUUUACAGUUUUUAAGCUUGUUUUUACGUGAUCUGUCACCUUACAUAAAACAUGCUCAGUUUACUCACCAAUGACAAACUCCAGAUCUAGUGUUUAAUAUUUUUUGCAGCAUUGGAAAUAUAUCUAAGGCUACAAUAUGUAAUAUAAUUUAUAGCCGUCAUAGACAUCUAACUCUUUACUAUAUUCUUGCUACAUUCUUAUUC